rnacentral:lncRNA from 1 species
GAAAAUAGAUUGUUGUUGAUUCAUUUUUUUGUCUCUUAAGGUUUUGGGGUUUGGUUUUUUAAGUUUGUGUGUAAGUCUGUGGUUUUUUAGUUUUUGUUUUGUUUUUUGAGAGCGGUACAAUAAAAACAUUUUAAAUUGCUAGUGACAUGAUUGUGUUGCUCAGCUGUCAUACUGGUAUUAUGGUAGCUUUUAUCUAGUACUUCUAUA